AAUGUUUCUUCAAUGAUUUUCUGGUAAUAUUUUACAUUUUUCAUGCUCUGGACAAAUCUCAGCACCAAAACCAACAACAGCAAUGAAUGUAUGCUUUCGUACAGUAUAGGGUAAAAAUUUUAGAUGAACACACUCGGGGAUCCCAGUGAUCGGCUGAGCCGUCCCACUGUGUGUGUAGGGGACGAAAAUGGCCCCUGUACAUCCUGAGGAGGAUCAUCUUCCACUCAGGAAUGUCCCACUCCACCCCUGGACAACUGAAACUCUACCUGAAACCUUUUUGGCAAUAGGGUCCACGCCCAAAUACCAUCAGUCAUGUUGUCAGGUAGAUCAGACAGG